rnacentral:ncRNA from 1 species
GCCGAGGAGCGUUGCAACGGGUGAUUACCCGCCAGGCUCGGAAUUACGCGUCUUUAACCAACUACGCUCAGU